rnacentral:rRNA from 1 species
AGUGAACGCUGGCGGUAGGCCUAGCACAUGCAAGUCGAACGGCAGCACAGUAAGAGCCUGCUCUUACGGGUGGCGAGUGGCGGACGGGUGAGGAAUACAUCGGAAUCUACUUUUUCGUGGGGGAUAACGUAGGGAAACUUACGCUAAUACCGCAUACGACCUACGGGUGAAAGCAGGGGAUCUUCGGACCUUGCGCGAUUGAAUGAGCCGAUGUCGGAUUAGCUAGUUGGCGGGGUAAAGGCCCACCAAGGCGACGAUCCGUAGCUGGUCUGAGAGGAUGAUCAGCCACACUGGAACUGAGACACGGUCCAGACUCCUACGGGAGGCAGCAGUGGGGAAUAUUGGACAAUGGGCGCAAGCCUGAUCCAGCCAUACCGCGUGGGUGAAGAAGGCCUUCGGGUUGUAAAGCCCUUUUGUUGGGAAAGAAAAGCAGCAGGUUAAUACCCCGCUGUUCUGACGGUACCCAAAGAAUAAGCACCGGCUAACUUCGUG